rnacentral:rRNA from 1 species
GCAAAUUCUUGGGGUUGGUCAGUGAGGCGUAGAGGCCUAUCCCAACAAAGUACAAUCCAUCAUUAACAUGAAGUCCCCUGAGGGAAAGGCAAAUGUUCAGAGCUUCCAAGGCAAGCUAACGACAUUAUUCCGCUUCAUUUCUAAGCUUACCGAUAAGUGCCUACAAUUUUCAAAGCUAUGAAGAGAUCCCAUCACAAGCUGGUAAACUGGACACCAGACUGUGAAGCGGCAUUUCAAGGUCUCAAAGAAUAUCUAGCGGCAAUCCCACUCCUAUCCAUACCAAUUUCAGGAGAAAUCCUUUACAUAUAUCUGGCAAUCUCAGUGUUAGCCGUCAGCUGCACAAUUAUACACAGAGAAAAGGAAGAGGAGCUCUAUGUAUUCUAUGCAAGAAAAGGCAUGAUUGGCGCAGAGACAAGAUACACACCUUUUGAACAGUUGGCGCUAGCGCUCAUUGUUGCCACUAGGUACCUCUGCUAGUAUUUCCAAGCUCACACCAUCCAUGUCCUCACCAAUCAACCGCUAAGGCAAGUUAUGCAAAACCUUGAACACUCUGGCCGCCUGAGCAAGUGGGUAAUUGAGCUCAGCAAGUUUGAUAUUGAAUAUAAGCCAAGAAAGGCUAUGAAUGGCCAGGCGGUAGAGGAUUUAAAUGCAGAACUCACUGAGCAGCAGGAAGAUCCCAUUCUCACCACAUUAGCUGAUAUCACUACCACUACUGAGGUCACUAACUUGUCCCAGCAACUGCCCAAUGACAGUCAAAGUGGAACCUUCAUGUUGACGAUUCGGCGUGCGCCAAGGCUUGUGGCGCUGGGGUAAUCCUGACAGGAUCUGGGGGACUCAACGUCAAGUAUGCCCUAAAGUUCAACUUCAAAGCCUCCAAUAACAUGGCAGAGUAUGAAGCACUCAUUGCUAGACUACUCCUCACCAUAAACUUAGGCGUUGACAGUGUGAAUAUAUUCAGUGACUCCAACUUGUCGUCAACUAGGUCAAUAACACUUUUCAAGUCAAGGAUAAAUAGCUGACGGCAUAUCUGGGGUAUGUGAAAGCUCUCCUCAAUAAGUUCAAGUUUCACUUCAUCACUUAAAUCCCCAAAGAGAAUAAUUCCAAGGCUGACUCUCUGGUGAGAUUGGCUACAUCUCAAACCUAUUAGAGCCCAAAAUACAUAAGGGUGGAAUGCCUUGACAAGCCAAGCAUCACAAAAACUCUGGCGAAAAUAUUUAUAAUCGACGUCAAUCCCAGCUAGAUGGAUGAGAUACUAGAGCACAAGCGUAAUGGAACACUACCAACUGCAAGCUGGGGGAGUGGUCCGUUUAGUGUUGUUAGGUCGUGCUAAUGUAACAGUGUGUGAGUGUGAAUGUCAAAGUGAAGAAAUUCAACCUAGCACAGGUAAACGGCGGGAGUAACUAUGACUCUCUUAAGGUAGCCAAAUGCCUCGUCAUCUAAUUAGUGAUGCGCAUGAAUGGAUUAGCGAGAUUCCCACUGUCCCUGUCUACUAUCUAGUGAAACAACAACCAAGGGAACGAGCUUGGCAGAAUUAGGGGGGGAAAGAAGACCCUAUUGAGCUUGAGUCUAGUAUGACAUUGUGAAAUGACUUGAGAGGUGUAGUAUAAGUGGGAGCCUUCGGGUGAAAGUGAAAUACCACUACUUUUAAUAUUAUUUUACUUAUUCGUGAAUCGAAGGAGGGGCACUGCCCUUUUUUUUUUUUUACCCAAAGCCUGUUUCGGCGGGCUGAUCUGGGCGGCAGAUAAUUUCAGGUAGGGUGUUUGGCUGGGGUGACACAUUUGUUAAAAGAUAACAUAGGUGUCCUAAGAUGAGCUCAAUCAUGAAAACAAAAAUCUCAUGUGGAACAAAAGGGUAAAAGCUCGUUUGAUUAUGAUUUCUAGAAUAGAUACGGUGGCCUAUCAAUCUUUUAGACAUUUGGAAUUUAAAGCUAGAGGUGUCAGAAAAGUUACCAUAGGGAUAACUGGCUUGUGGCAGCCAAGUGUUCAUAGCGACAUUACUUUUUUUUCCCUUCGAUGUCGGCUCUUCCUAUCAUUGUGAAGUAGAAUUCACCAAGUGCUGGAUUGUUCACCCACCAAUAAGGAACAUGAGCUAGGUUUAAACCAUCGCGAGACAAGUUAUUUUUACCCUACUGAUGACAGUGUUGCAAUAUUAAUUCAACCUAGUAUGAGAGGAAUCGUUGAUUGGCACAAUUGGUCAUCGCGCUUGGUUGAAAAGCCAGUGGCACGAAGCUACCAUACGCUGGAUUAUGACUGAACGCCUCUAAGUCAUAAUCCAGAAAGCAUGUGCUCACCGUCUGAUUGUCAACCCACAGUAGGGGCUCUAGUCCCUUAAAGGCACCCCUUGUUUGUGAAGCCUUCGCGGCGAACAAGUUGCGAUAGCCGACUUGAAUUACAAUUUCUACCGAGCAGCGAGUUGAGUCCUUUGCAAAUGCCUUAAAUACAAGACGGGAUAUUGUAAGUGGCAGAGUGGCCUUGCUGCCACGAUCCAUUAAGAUUUAGCCUUGCGUCGCUUCGAUUCGU